rnacentral:rRNA from 1 species
AACCUACGGGGGGCAGCAGUGGGGAAUAUUGCACAAUGGGGGAAACCCUGAUGCAGCGACGCCGCGUGAGUGAAGAAGUAAUUCGUUAUGUAAAGCUCUAUCAGCAGGGAAGAAAAUGACGGUACCUGAGUAAGAAGCCCCGGCUAACUACGUGCCAGCAGCCGCGGUAAUACGUAGGGGGCAAGCGUUAUCCGGAUUUACUGGGUGUAAAGGGAGCGUAGACGGCAGAGCAAGUCUGGAGUGAAAGGCG